rnacentral:rRNA from 1 species
GAUGAACGCUGGCGGCGUGCCUAAUACAUGCAAGUCGAGCGAACACACGAGGCGCUUUCCUCUCUGACGUUAGCGGCGGACGUGUUAGUAACACGUGUAUAACCUACCUAUAAGUCUCGGCUAGCUUCGGUAAAUCGUACCUAAUACCGGAUAAUAUAUUGAACGGCAGGGUUCAAUAGUUAAAGACGGUUUUGCUGUCGCUUACAGAUUAGUUAGUUGGUGGGGUAAUGGCUCACCAAGCCAACGAUUUGUAGCUGGUCUGAGAGGACGAGCAGCCACACUGGGACUGAGACACGGCCCAGACUCCUACGGGAGGCAGCAGUGGGGAAUGUUGGACAAUGGGCGAAAGCCUGAUCAAGCAAUGCCGCGUGCAGGAAGAGGGCCUUCGGGUUGUAAACUGCUGUUGUACGGAACGAAACGGCGCGGGAUAAUACCCGCGGCUAAUGACGGUACCGUAAGAAUAAGCACCGGCUAACUACGUG